rnacentral:rRNA from 1 species
CCUACGGGAGGCAGCAGUGAGGAAUAUUGGUCAAUGGACGGAAGUCUGAACCAGCCAUGCCGCGUGCAGGAAGACGGCUCUAUGAGUUGUAAACUGCUUUUGUACAAGGGUAAACCUGAAUACGUGUAUUCAGCUGAAAGUACUGUACGAAAAAGGAUCGGCUAACUCCGGGCCAGCAGCCGCGGUAAUACGGAGGAUCCAAGCGUUAUCCGGAUUUAUUGGGUUUAAAGGGUUCGUAGGCGGAUUGGUAAGUUAGAGGUGAAAUGUCCGGGGUUAACUCGGGAACUGCCUCUGAUACUGGUGAUCUAGAGUGGAGGUGAGGUAGGCGGAAUGUAUGGUGUAGCGGUGAAAUGCUUAGAGAUCAUGCAGAACACCGAUUGCGAAGGCAGCUUACCA